rnacentral:rRNA from 1 species
GAUGAACGCUGGCGGCGUGCCUAAUACAUGCAAGUCGAGCGAACAGACGAGGAGCUUGCUCCUCUGACGUUAGCGGCGGACGGGUGAGUAACACGUGGAUAACCUACCUAUAAGACUGGGAUAACUUCGGGAAACCGGAGCUAAUACCGGAUAAUAUAUUGAACCGCAUGGUUCAAUAGUGAAAGACGGUUUUGCUGUCACUUAUAGAUGGAUCCGCGCCGCAUUAGCUAGUUGGUAAGGUAACGGUUACCAAGGCAACGAUGCGUAGCCGACCUGAGAGGGUGAUCGGCCACACUGGAACUGAGACACGGUCCAGACUCCUACGGGAGGCAGCAGUAGGGAAUCUUCCGCAAUGGGCGAAAGCUUGACGGAGCAACGCCGCGUGAGUGAUGAAGGUCUUCGGAUCGUAAAACUCUGUUAUUAGGGAAGAACAAAUGUGUAAGUAACUAUGCACGUCUUGACGGUACCUAAUCAGAAAGCCACGGCUAACUACGUG